AGGACUCAGUGCUCUGGGCUGGGGGACGAGGUGGGCAUCGGGCACAGGGGGGAUCCAUGGGCUGGGAGGUUGGAGCACAAACCCAACUAAAACUGGGGAAAGUAAAAUUAAAUACACGUUGAUCCACAGGAGGGGGAUUAUCUCCAAUCCCCUUUAACCAACCUGUGCUGUGCUAAAAGCAUUUUUCAUGCCAUAUUUUUGCCCUUCCCCUUCCCAGGCUGUCCAGGGCAGGAGUGGGGUAUAAGGGUCCAGAAAGCUGAGAUGAUCCCAGACAUGGAGGUGGAAACUGGAAUACUUUAUUGAACACAGGAGUGCAAUUUAAGGGUCUUGGGGGCUGGACAUGUUAAUGAGGAGGAUGAGUUAUGUUAAUUAGGGGAUGGCUUUAUGUUAACUAGAGGAUUACACAGGUUUCUGCUACAGUUACACAAUUGAUUAAUAUUUCCCUUAACCAGGAUUACAUGGGGGGGAAGAAAACAAAGGGGUUUCAGCACGGUUUGAAAACUUCUCUCAAAGUCCUUCCUCAUCCUGCUGCAGGAGCCAGGUUAAUCCACAUGGCUGGUCUGGUGAGGAAGGUCCAGUCCUUCAGAUCAUGGGAUUUCUCUCAGCCUCUGUUGCCCAAGGGAGAGAAUCUGCCCUCUGCCAGCCUGUGGUGCUUGACAAGACUUUUCUCAUGAGCUCCUGGACCUCGUCACAUCCUAUGGAUGUGCUGGACCAAGGGCGGCUCAGUGCGCUCGAAUCCAAGUGGGAAGAAGGGAGAAUUCCUGAAAUCUGCUUCAUCCGAGCCAGGUCCUCCUUGCUGGUGGAGUGAGGGGACCAUCACUGGCUGCAGCUACGCCUGUGGGGACACGGGACAUCCCACUGUGCGUGUCCAAGGGAACAUUUGGUCGGGAAGGUGACCCUUUCCCUGCUGGAAACGGGAACAGGGAGCCGAGUGAGGGAUUUCGGCGUCUGCUGGAGCGUGGAGCACGUGGGAGGUGAGCAGCCCACGCCAGGGCUGAUAAAUCCAACAUUCCUGUCCCCACCCUUCCCUGUGAAACACGGAAAGAUUAAUGGCAACCAGACAACCAAGUUCUCCUCAGCUCUCUGGUUACGAGGUGCCUUUUUUUCCAGAUGGCUCCGACGGCCGCCAGGAAACAUUAUUAUUAAACUUACUAAAAAUGGA